UACGUAGGUCCCGAGCGUUGUCCGGAUUUAUUGGGCGUAAAGCGAGCGCAGGUGGUUUAUUAAGUCUGGUGUAAAAGGCAGUGGCUCAACCAUUGUAUGUAUUGGAAACUGGUAGACUUGAGUGCAGGAGAGGAGAGUGGAAUUCCAUGUGUAGCGGUGAAAUGCGUAGAUAUAUGGAGGAACAUCGGUGGCGAAAGCGGCUCUCUGGCCUGUAACUGACACUGAGGCUCGAAAGCGUGGGGAGCAAACAGG
rnacentral:rRNA from 1 species